ensembl:lncRNA
GAGAAAAGAGGGGACAUUAUGAAAGGAGAGAGGUAAAGAGAGUAUGGAGAAAAGAGGGGACAUGAUGAAAGGAGAGAGGUAAAGAGAGUAUGGAGAAAAGAGGGGACAUUAUGAAAGGAGAGAGGUAAAAGAGGAUAUGGAGAAAAGAGGGGACAUUAUGAAAGGAGAGAGGUAAAAGAGGAUAUGGAGAAAAGAGGGGACAUUAUGAAAGGAGAGAGGUAAAGAGAGUAUGGAGAAAAGAGGGGACAUUAUGAAAGGAGAGAGGUAAAAGAGAGUAUGGAGAAAAGAGGGGACAUUAUGAAAGGAGAGAGGUAAAACAGAGUAUGGAGAAAAGAGGGGACAUUAUGAAAGGAGAGAGUAAAAGAGA